AGGUGGGGAUGACGUCAAAUCAUCAUGCCCCUUAUGACCUGGGCUACACACGUGCUACAAUGGUUGGUACAAAGAGAAGCGAAGCGGUGACGUGGAGCAAACCUCAUAAAGCCAAUCUCAGUUCGGAUUGUAGGCUGCAACUCGCCUACAUGAAGUUGGAAUCGCUAGUAAUCGCGAAUCAGCAUGUCGCGGUGAAUACGUUCCCGGGUCUUGUACACACCGCCCGUCACACCACGAGAGUUUACAACACCCGAAGUCAGUGGCCUAACCGCAAGGAGGGAGCUGCCUAAGGUGGGGUAGAUGAUUGGGGUGAAGUCGUAACAAGGUAUCCCUACCGGAAGGUGGGGAUGGAUCACCUCCUUUCUAUGGAGA
rnacentral:rRNA from 1 species